UUUCCGUAGGUGAACCUGCGGAAGGAUCAUUCACAAAAAAAGUGUUUAAUGGCACUUUCAAUCCAUUACCCACCUUGUGUGCAUUGUCGGGGGAGGACCCUUCUUUAUCUCAACCUUUUCUUCUCUCUUUCUCUCUCGGGAGAGAGAGAGGGGGGGUGGAGGGGAAAGAGAGGGGGAUCUCUUCUCAUACAUACUCUGUUCUUUCAGUAUCUGUCUACUUUUUUAGAGUUAUAGAACUCGAAUACAACUUUCAACAACGGAUCUCUUGGCUCUC
rnacentral:misc_RNA from 1 species